rnacentral:pre_miRNA from 1 species
CCCAAGAUAAACCAAUUUUUUACUUUUUACUUUUAAUGACUCUUCGUCUUAUUUAAAUUUUUUUUGUGAUUGAUAUUUUUGUUUUUAUUAGAUGAUAAAUCAUGAAUAGUAUUUAUGUGUGACUAAUUUUUUCUAAUUUUCUGAAAAUUUUUCAAAUAAGACGGAUGGUCAAACGUAACACGGAAACCGAAG